GCCCCGAUAGCUCAGUUGGUAGAGCAGAGGAUUGAAAAUCCUCGUGUCCCUGGUUCAAAUCCGGGUCGGGGCACCA
rnacentral:tRNA from 20 species